GGCUCUUUGAUCAAUAUAAAGAGUUAGACCUGCCCAGUGAUUAGUAUUUAUUAAAUGGCCGCGGUACACUGACCGUGCAAAGGUAGCGUAAUCAUUUGCCUUUUAAUUGGAGGCUGGUAUGAAUGGUCAGACGGGGAGUCUACUGUCUCUCCAGAAUAGAGAAAAAUUAAAUUCUAGGUUAAAAUGCCUAGCUGAUAUUGAAAGACGAGAAGACCCUAACGAGCUUUAUUUUUAGCACUAAUCAUAAGUAGUGCUCAAACUUUUGUUGGGGCGACUGAGGAAACCGGAGCUUCCUUUUAUAAGAAGAAAUUAUGGUUAAGGAUCCAGCGUAUUAUGCUGAAGCCAGGCGAGCUACCGUAGGGAUAACAGCGUAAUCCUUUUAAAGAGUUCCUAUCGAAAAAAGGGUUUGCGACCUCGAUGUUGGACUAGGAUAUCCUAGUGGUGUAGAAGCUUCUGAGGGUUGGUCUGUUCGACCAAUAAAAUCCU
rnacentral:rRNA from 1 species